GACGAACGCUGGCGGCGGGCUUAACACAUGCAAGUCGAACGGAAAGGCGCCAACUUUCUCUAGUACUCUGGUGACUAGCGGGUGAGUAACACGUGUGUAAGCUACCCUGCACUCUGGGAUAAGCCUGGGAAACUGGGUCUAAUACUGGAGAUUACCGUUCUCCUUAUAGGGUGUGGUGGAAAGGUUUUCGGUGUAGGAUGAGCCCGCGGCCUAUCAUCUUGUUGGUGGGGUGGUGGCGUACCAAGGCGACGACGGGUAGCCGGCAUGAGAGGGUGAUCGGCCACAUUGGGACUGAGAUACGGACCAGACUCCUACGUGAGGCAGCAGUGGGGAAUAUUGCACAAUGGGCGGAAGUCUGAUGCAGCGACGCUGCGUGAGGGAUGACGGCCUUCCGGUUGUAAACCUCUUUCAGCAGGGACGAAGCGUAAGUGACGGUACCUGCAGAAGAAGCACCGGCUAACUACGUG
rnacentral:rRNA from 1 species